CAAAGGAAUUGACGGGGCCCGCACAAGCAGCGGAGCAUGUGGUUUAAUUCGAAGCAACGCGAAGAACCUUACCUAGACUUGACAUCUCCUGAAUUACCCGUAACUGGGGAAGCUCUUCGGAGCAGGAAGACAGGUGGUGCAUGGUUGUCGUCAGCUCGUGUCGUGAGAUGUUGGGUUAAGUCCCGCAACGAGCGCAACCCUUAUCGUUAGUUGCUACCAUUAGGUUGAGCACUCUAGCGAGACUGCCCGGGUUAACCGGGAGGAAGGUGGGGAUGACGUCAAAUCAUCAUGCCCCUUAUGUCUAGGGCUACACACGUGCUACAAUGGUGAGGACAAAGAGACGCAAGACCGCGAGGUGGAGCAAAUCUCACAAACCUCAUCCCAGUUCGGAUUGCAGGCUGAAACUCGCCUGCAUGAAGCCGGAGUUGCUAGUAAUCGCGAAUCAGCAUGUCGCGGUGAAUACGUUCCCGGGCCUU
rnacentral:rRNA from 1 species